rnacentral:rRNA from 1 species
GAUGAACGCUAGCGGCAGGCUUAACACAUGCAAGUCGAGGGGUAUAGUUCUUCGGAACUAGAGACCGGCGCACGGGUGCGUAACGCGUAUGCAAUCUACCUUUUACAGGGGGAUAGCCCAGAGGAAUUUGGAUUAAUACCCCAUAGUAUGUUAGAGUGGCAUCAUUUUAACAUUAAAGUUCCAACGGUAAAAGAUGAGCAUGCGUCCCAUUAGCUAGAUGGUAAGGUAACGGCUUACCAUGGCGACGAUGGGUAGGGGUCCUGAGAGGGAGAUCCCCCACACUGGUACUGAGACACGGACCAGACUCCUACGGGAGGCAGCAGUGAGGAAUAUUGGACAAUGGGCGCAAGCCUGAUCCAGCCAUGCCGCGUGCAGGAAGACGGUCCUAUGGAUUGUAAACUGCUUUUGUACAGGAAGAAACACUCCCUCGUGAGGGAGCUUGACGGUACUGUAAGAAUAAGGGUCGGCUAACUCCGUGCCAGCCGCCGCGGUAACAC